UCUACUCUGCCUGUUGCAAGGCCCUCCCGGCCCAGGCUUGGGAGAGAGGUGUGCCCUACACUGCCGUGAGCCCUGAGUGGACCCAGACGGCCAGAGGGAGCAGCCCUCAGCCCAGACUCCACAGCGCAGCCCAGCCCGUCCCUGCAGCCACGAUCGGAGUGCUACUUGGCACACAGACCACAGUGAAAGUGGAGAAACUGAGGCCCAGCAGCAAAAAGUGUCUCGUCGAAGGUCACGAAGGCAGGAAAUAGCAGAUGCCAGGAGGGUCAUGGCACUCAGAGAUGAAAGGAGUCCCUCAUGCCCGGCACUCCCCCGCCCACCAGCCAUCGUGGCCAUCCUGGGCACGUGAGCACCACUGCGCCAGCCCAGCCUGGAGCCUGGUACUGCUGGCCUUGGCAGGCAGACAUUGCUGGUCAGGAAUGCAGAAUCGGCCUUUAAAUACCUCAGCAAUUUC
rnacentral:lncRNA from 10 species